GACGAACGCUGGCGGCGUGCUUAACACAUGCAAGUCGAACGGAAAGGCCCUGCUUUUGUGGGGUGCUCGAGUGGCGAACGGGUGAGUAACACGUGAGUAACCUGCCCUUGACUUUGGGAUAACUUCAGGAAACUGGGGCUAAUACCGGAUAGGAGCUCCUGCUGCAUGGUGGGGGUUGGAAAGUUUCGGCGGUUGGGGAUGGACUCGCGGCUUAUCAGCUUGUUGGUGGGGUAGUGGCUUACCAAGGCUUUGACGGGUAGCCGGCCUGAGAGGGUGACCGGCCACAUUGGGACUGCGAUACGGCCCAGACUCCUACGGGAGGCAGCAGUGGGGAAUAUUGCGCAAUGGGCGGAAGCCUGAUGCAGCAACGCCGCGUGCGGGAUGACGGCCUUCGGGUUGUAAACCGCUUUCGCCUGUGACGAAGCGUGAGUGACGGUAAUGGGUAAAGAAGCACCGGCUAACUACGUG
rnacentral:rRNA from 1 species